rnacentral:rRNA from 1 species
CCCACCUUUGACAUGUACGGAAGUUACCAGAGAUGGUUUCGUGCUCGAAAGAGAACCGUAACACAGGUGCUGCAUGGCUGUCGUCAGCUCGUGUCGUGAGAUGUUGGGUUAAGUCCCGCAACGAGCGCAACCCUUGUCAUUAGUUGCUACGAAAGGGCACUCUAAUGAGACUGCCGGUGACAAACCGGAGGAAGGUGGGGAUGACGUCAAGUCCUCAUGGCCCUUAUAGGUGGGGCUACACACGUCAUACAAUGGCUGGUACAGAGGGUUGCCAACCCGCGAGGGGGAGCUAAUCCCAUAAAACCAGUCGUAGUCCGGAUCGCAGUCUGCAACUCGACUGCGUGAAGUCGGAAUCGCUAGUAAUCGCGGAUCAGAAUGUCGCGGUGAAUACGUUCCCGGGUCUUGU